UGGGGCGGGGCGGGCCCUGCGCAUGCGCCGUGCGAGCGGCGCUCUGCUAGUCGAAUGUCCGGGCUGCGGACGCUGCUGGGGCUGGGGCUGCUGGUUGCGGGCUCGCGCCUGCCACGGGUCAUCAGCCAGCAGAGUGUGUGUCGUGCAAGGCCCAUCUGGUGGGGAACACAGCGCCGGGGCUCGGAGACCAUGGCGGGCGCUGCGGUGAAGUACUUAAGUCAGGAGGAGGCUCAGGCCGUGGACCAAGAGCUUUUUAACGAGUAUCAGUUCAGCGUGGAUCAACUCAUGGAGCUGGCCGGGUUGAGCUGUGCCACGGCUAUUGCCAAGGCUUAUCCCCCCACGUCUAUGUCCAAGAGUCCCCCGACUGUCUUGGUCAUCUGUGGCCCCGGAAAUAACGGAGGGGAUGGGCUGGUCUGUGCGCGACACCUCAAACUUUUUGGUUACCAGCCAACUAUCUAUUACCCCAAAAGACCUAACAAGCCCCUCUUCACUGGGCUAGUGACUCAGUGUCAGAAAAUGGACAUUCCUUUCCUUGGUGAAAUGCCCCCAGAGGUAGGUGGGUUGAUGCCUGUUUCUACAGUAAGUACUGCCCCUGUCCUGCCCUUCCCAUUUUCAGAUCAAGCUGGCCUGCCUAGUGUCUGUCUGCCCUAAAAGUGUUCUCUGAAAAAAAGUGGUGUAGAAGCCCCUCCAGACUGUGUGCUCCACGACUUUCCAGGCACUCCUAUUCUGCAGCCAAACAACUCCCACAACAUGCAUCUAACAAUAAUCUGGCCCUCAGGGCCUCAUCCUGAACCUUUUCUGUAGAUGCAUGGAUUAAAGGGUGGGAAGUCAGAAAUUAAAACAAAACAAAAACCAGAAAGCCCCAGCUUAUUCUAUGGAUGAAGACACUGAUAUGCAGAACAGAACUAGUCUCUUCUGGCUUCCAGUGUCAGGAAGCCUGAGACUGGCAGUCACCCCUUCUCACCAGUGACAGGCAGCCCAUGAUGGUGGACGAGCUGUAUGAGCUGGUGGUGGACGCCAUCUUCGGCUUCAGUUUCAAGGGUGACGUUCGGGAGCCAUUCCACAGCAUCCUGAGUGUCUUGAGUGGACUCACUGUGCCCAUUGCUAGCAUCGACAUUCCCUCAGGAUGGGAUGUAGAGAAGGGAAACCCUAGCGGAAUCCAACCAGACUUACUCAUCUCACUGACGGCACCCAAGAAGUCUGCAACUCACUUUACUGGCCGAUAUCAUUACCUUGGGGGUCGCUUUGUACCACCUGCUCUAGAGAAGAAGUACCAGCUGAACCUGCCAUCUUACCCUGACACAGAGUGUGUCUACCGUCUACAGUAAGGGAGGUGGGUAGGCAGGAUUCUCAAUAAAGACUUGGUACUUUCUGUCUUGAAA